AGAGGUGACUGAGCGGCGGACGGGUGAGUAACGCGUGGGUAACCUGCCUCAUACAGGGGGAUAACAGUUAGAAAUGGCUGCUAAUACCGCAUAAGACCACGGUACCGCAUGGUACAGUGGUAAAAACUCUGGUGGUAUGAGAUGGACCCGCGUCUGAUUAGGUAGUUGGUGGGGUAACAGCCUACCAAGCCGACGAUCAGUAGCCGACCUGAGAGGGUGACCGGCCACAUUGGGACUGAGACACGGCCCAGACUCCUACGGGAGGCAGCAGUGGGGAAUAUUGCACAAUGGAGGAAACUCUGAUGCAGCGACGCCGCGUGAAGGAUGAAGUAUUUCGGUAUGUAAAGCUCUAUCAGCAGGGAAGAAAAUGACGGUACCUGACUAAGAAGCCCCGGCUAACUACGUGCCAGCAGCCGCGGUAAUACGUAGGGGGCAAGCGUUAUCCGGAUUUACUGGGUGUAAAGGGAGCGUAGACGGCGUAUCAAGUCUGAUGUGAAAGGCAGGGGCUCAACUCCUGGACUGCAUUGGAAACUGGUAUGCUCGAGUGCCGGAGGGGUAAGCGGAAUUCCUUGUGUAGCGGUGAAAUGCGUAGAUAUAAGGAAGAACACCAGUGGCGAAGGCGGAUUACUGGACGGUAACUGACGGUGAGGCGCGAAAGCGUGGGGAGCGAACAGGAUU
rnacentral:rRNA from 1 species